rnacentral:tRNA from 1 species
AUAAAUAUAGAUUAAUUAAAAUCAUUGGUUUGUGAUGCCAAAAAUACUCUUAUGUUAUUUAUA